rnacentral:rRNA from 1 species
UACCAGCACCCCGAGUGGUCGGGACGAUUAUUGGGCCUAAAGCAUCCGUAGCCGGCCUUACAAGUCCUCCGUUAAAUCCAGCUGCUUAACAGAUGGGCUGCGGAGGAUACUAUAAGACUAGGAGGCAGGAGAGGCAAGCGGUACUCAGUGGGUAGGGGUAAAAUCCGUUGAUCCAUUGAAGACCACCAGUGGCGAAGGCGGCUUGCCAGAAUGCGCUCGACGGUGAGGGAUGAAAGCUGGGGGGAGCAAACGGG